rnacentral:rRNA from 1 species
GAUGAACGCUGGCGGCGUGCCUAAUACAUGCAAUUCGAGCGAACGGACGAGAAGCUUGCUUCUCUGAUGUUAGCGGCGGACGGGUGAGUAACACGUGGAUAACCUACCUAUAAGACUGGGAUAACUUCGGGAAACCGGAGCUAAUACCGGAUAAUAUUUUGAACCGCAUGGUUCAAAAGUGAAAGACGGUCUUGCUGUCACUUAUAGAUGGAUCCGCGCUGCAUUAGCUAGUUGGUAAGGUAACGGCUUACCAAGGCAACGAUGCAUAGCCGACCUGAGAGGGUGAUCGGCCACACUGGAACUGAGACACGGUCCAGACUCCUACGGGAGGCAGCAGUAGGGAAUCUUCCGCAAUGGGCGAAAGCCUGACGGAGCAACGCCGCGUGAGUGAUGAAGGUCUUCGGAUCGUAAAACUCUGUUAUUAGGGAAGAACAUAUGUGUAAGUAACUGUGCACAUCUUGACGGUACCUAAUCAGAAAGCCACGGCUAACUACGUG